CUGGUAGUCCACGCCCCUAAACGAUGUCUACUAGUUGUCGGGUUUUAAUUAACUUGGUAACGCAGCUAACGCGUGAAGUAGACCGCCUGGGGAGUACGGUCGCAAGAUUAAAACUCAAAGGAAUUGACGGGGACCCGCACAAGCGGUGGAUGAUGUGGAUUAAUUCGAUGCAACGCGAAAAACCUUACCUACCCUUGACAUGGAAGGAAUCCUCGAGAGAUUGAGGAGUGCCCGAAAGGGAACCUUCACACAGGUGCUGCAUGGCUGUCGUCAGCUCGUGUCGUGAGAUGUUGGGUUAAGUCCCGCAACGAGCGCAACCCUUGUCAUUAGUUGCUACGCAAGAGCACUCUAAUGAGACUGCCGGUGACAAACCGGAGGAAGGUGGGGAUGACGUCAAGUCCUCAUGGCCCUUAUGGGUAGGGCUUCACACGUCAUACAAUGGUACAUACAGAGGGCCGCCAACCCGCGAGGGGGAGCUAAUCCCAGAAAGUGUAUCGUAGUCCGGAUUGUAGUCUGCAACUCGACUACAUGAAGUUGGAAUCGCUAGUAAUCGCGGAUCAGCAUGUCGCGGUGAAUACGUUCCCGGGUCUUGUACACACCGCCCGUCACACCAUGGGAGCGGGUUUUACCAGAAGUAGGUAGCUUAACCGCAAGGAGGGCGCUUACCACGGUAGAUUCGU
rnacentral:rRNA from 2 species